rnacentral:lncRNA from 1 species
AAUUCCCAUGUCUCUGACAUUCCACAUCAGGAUCUUCAUGGAUUUAGGGUUAGGGUUGCAAAAUGGUCGUUGCGACAAUAGCCUCCCCCUGGAUCUUGGGCUCAGUGUUUCCCAAUUGUGGCCCUGGAGGAGAGUUUCUCCUCUUUGGUUCCUGGGUCAAAUUUCAACCUCGUGGUUGAGAUUUCUUUACUCUAGAGUUGAGAUGCACGAGAGAGAGAGAGAGAGACAGUUUGACUCCUAUGAGUUCUUUCAGAGUAUGGAUCACCAACACGGAUUCUUCUGUGCCACAAAGCCUUAUAGCUAAAGCAUGUUGACAAAAUUGUUGGAUCAGCA